UUGGGGAUCUUGGACAAUGGGGGAAACCCUGAUCCAGCCAUGCCGCGUGAGUGAUGAAGGCCUUCGGGUUGUAAAACUCUUUCGACGGGGACGAUAAUGACGGUACCCGUAGAAGAAGCUCCGGCUAACUUCGUGCCAGCAGCCGCGGUAAUACGAAGGGGGCUAGCGUUGUUCGGAAUUACUGGGCGUAAAGCGCGCGCAGGCGGUUCUUCAAGUCAGUGGUGAAAGCCCGGAGCUCAACUCCGGAAUUGCCAUUGAAACUGUAGAACUUGAGUACGAGAGAGGUGAGUGGAAUUCCCAGUGUAGAGGUGAAAUUCGUAGAUAUUGGGAAGAACACCAGUGGCGAAGGCGGCUCACUGGCUCGUAACUGACGCUCAGGCGCGAUAGCGUGGGGAUCAAA
rnacentral:rRNA from 1 species